rnacentral:sRNA from 1 species
AAACAAACUCUUAUCACACAAACUCGCUUAACAAAUAAACCAAACGAUGCACUAGUUGUAACAACGUUAUUUUUCUUUUGAAUCUAACUUAACAUUAUUUU